UUGGCAAGUAACGACAUUCUCACAGAAAAACACUGAAGGAAGCAAACAACGACUACAACAUGACCGACUGUUCUCCUUCAACAUUCACCUCCUCUCUCUCUCCUGGAGGUCCUCAGUCACAGUGCAAGAUCCGGAGGGAGGGUUAGGGUUAGGAUUAGGAUUAGGAUAGGGUUAGGGUUAUGAUUAGGUUUAGUUUAGGGUUAGGAUAGGGUUAGUUUAUGGUUAGGUUAGGGUUAGGGUUAGGGUUAGGAUAGGGUUAGGAUUAGGAUUAGGAUAGGAUAGGGUUAGGUUAGGGUUAGGGUUAGGUUUUGUUGAGGGAAAAGUGGUGGCAAAACAGAUAAACUGUU